GGCCCAGUGGCGCAGUUGGUUAGCGCGCCACCCUGUCACGGUGGAGGUCGCGGGUUCAAGUCCCGUCUGGGUCG
rnacentral:tRNA from 3 species